rnacentral:rRNA from 1 species
GAUGAACGCUGGCGGCGUGCCUAAUACAUGCAAGUCGAGCGAAAGGACGAUGCUCUUGCUUCUCUGAUGUUAGGGGCGGGCGGGUGAGUAACACGUGGAUAACCCACCUAUAAGACUGGGAUAACUGCGGGAAACUGGAGCUAAUACCGGAUAAUAUUUUGAACCGCAUGGUUCGAAAGUGAAUGACGGUCUUGCUGUCACUGAUAGAUGGAUCCGCGCUGCAUUAGCUAGUUGGUAAGGUAACGGCUUACCAAGGCAACGAUGCAUAGCCGACCUGAGAGGGUGAUCGGCCACACUGGAACUGAGACACGGUCCAGACUCCUACGGGAGGCAGCAGUAGGGAAUCUGCCGCAAUGGGCGAAAGCCUGACGGAGCAACGCCGCGUGAGUGAUGAAGGUCUUCGGAUCGUAAAACUCUGUUAUGAGGGAAGAACAUAUGUGUAAGUAACUGUGCACAUCGUGACGGUACCUAAUCAGAAAGCAACGGCUAACUACGUG